UACGUAGGGUGCAAGCGUUGUCCGGAAUUAUUGGGCGUAAAGGGCUCGUAGGCGGUCUGUCACGUCGGGAGUGAAAACUCAGGGCUUAACCCUGAGCCUGCUUCCGAUACGGGCAGACUAGAGGUAUGCAGGGGAGAACGGAAUUCCUGGUGUAGCGGUGAAAUGCGCAGAUAUCAGGAGGAACACCGGUGGCGAAGGCGGUUCUCUGGGCAUUACUGACGCUGAGGAGCGAAAGCGUGGGGAGCGAACAGG
rnacentral:rRNA from 1 species